CAAUCACACUCUAUGGAUUGCUUACAUAUGCAAAGGCUUAUCUGUACUGAUAGUCAAGUUAAUUGUAUCUGUACAUAUGGAUUGUGCUUACAUAUGCAAAGGAUUUUUUAAAGUGUAUCUGUACUGAAGUUAACUACAUUCAGAUGUCAUCACUGCCAACUAUAAUGUUGAUGUACAGAAUACUACUGCAAGCAUUUAUUUGACCCUCGAAUUUCAUUUUUGUAUUUAUGUAAAGAAGGUCAUGGAUCUAAAUUCCUUAUAAUGAAACUAUACUUAUUUCCUCUUUUGCUUCUCACACAUUGAUUAAGGUGACCUCAGCCCACAAAAAUGUAGAAAUUCAUUGGACUUGAGAAAUUGUCUAACAUAAACUUUGAUCUGGAUCCUCAAUGCAGCUAUAUAAUCAAGAUUUUUAUUGACAAAAAGUAUGCUUUGCCUUAUCGGGUGCUGGAUGCUUUGGUUGCUCAUUUCAUGAGAUUUGUAGAAGACUCAAGGGUUAUGCCAGUGAUCUGGCAUCAGACUCUUCUUGCCUUUGUUCAAAGGUUUUCACAACUCCAAGGGAGGGGCCCUUCACCAAAGAGGAGUUGGAUGAAGUUCGAGACAAGUGGGCUACUUACUUCAACGAUUUGAACUACCCUCAGUGUAAUAAUUAGAGCAGGCUUGUAGUUAUUCGUGACUCUUACAUUAUUUUGUUAUUUAUCGAUUUAAUUAAUUA